rnacentral:rRNA from 1 species
AUACGUAGGGAGCGAGCGUUAUCCGGAAUUAUUGGGUGUAAAGGGUGCGUAGACGGGAGUACAAGUUAGUUGUGAAAUCCCUCGGCUUAACUGAGGAACUGCAACUAAAACUAUACUUCUUGAGUGCAGGAGAGGUAAGUGGAAUUCCUAGUAUAGCGGUGAAAUGCGUAGAUAUUAGGAGGAACACCAGUGGCGAAGGCGACUUACUGGACUGUAACUGACGUUGAGGCACGAAAGUGUGGGGAGC